UUUUUGUAGAAAAGGCCCCAAGGUCACCAGUUAUGGUACUCAGUUAUUGCUAAAGUGCUUCUAGUUAACUGGUAAUCAGAAUAGGGGCUAUCGUUUCAGGGUGAGCUCGCUCAGGGGGUUGGUCGCAGUGUUAGUGACGCCACUGUUUAACUUUGUGUAAGAAAUGUAAUGUGAGGCUACAGUUGAGGGAGACCCGAAUACUAGUUAGCGCAACGUGUGCGUGAAUGACAAAGAUCCAGUGGUGUGAGGCCAUUGUAGUUCUUCUGAUGAAGCACCAUGCAGCCGGUCUUCUGCAGCAGAGUCCAGCAUAACUCAACUCCACCCCUCUCUGCUGCAACAUGGAGCGCUGUCGCUCCCUGCUGGUCAACUGCAUUCACAACCCAUCGCUGGACAAGAAAAAAAAAAUAAAAACACAAUCUGUGGAACUGCUCGAAGAUCUGACAUCUUCCCUCCAAAUAUGAAGUCCUCUUUUUAUGUUAAACAUUUAUAAUUCAGCAUCACCACAGGCUAAAGAAAAUACAUGUUAGAUUACAGUGCAGAUGAUAUUUGAUGAAAAGGUUUUUAAAUAAUAAAGCUGACUUAAAAAGACA